rnacentral:misc_RNA from 1 species
AACUAACGCUAUUAUUGAUACAGUUUCUGUACUAUAUUGGUAUGAGAAGCUUCCAGAAUAAUAAUUCGGAUUAUUAUUCGGGAUAAUUUUGGAAUAAAAC